CUUGAUCAUUUCACGGCAACAGAGAAAGAAAAGAGGAAAAAAAUAAGGAGAAGAGGGGGAAAACAAGGGAAAAGCUAGGGUUUCUAGAAAAUUGAAGAGGUUCUGACGCUUAGUAGCUCACUCGAGAUUUAGCCGGAGAGCUCCCGUGUUUUGUUUGGAGACUAGGUAGUGAGUCAAUGCUCUGGUCAUGUAACACUGGGUAGAUUAGUAGUAUUGAGCUCAUGUCUUAUUUGGAUAUGUAUUAUGUUAUUACUUGUGAACAUGUUUAUUUGUAAUUUGCUGUUUAAGAGGCCAUAGUGCCAAAUAUUCUGGAUAUGGUUUUAUUUUAUCUUGAGGAGAUUAUUGAGAGAUGAUCAUGGUAUGGGACAUGAAUCAUUUUAUGAAAUACAUGAGUAUUCAUUA